UUUAUACGACCGCAAAAAUUAAAAAUUUUUUGGUCGUAUAUUGGUAUGACGUUGGCGUCGUCGUCGUCGUCGUCGUCUGGCGUCGUCCGGCGUCGUCCGAAGACACAUUGGUUUUCGCACUCUAACUUUAGUUUAAGUGAAUGGAUCUCCAUGAAAUUUUACCAUAAGGUUCAAUACCACAAAAGGAAGGUUGGGAUUGAUUUUGGGGGUUAUGGUAAUAACAGUAAAGGAAUUAGGGGCCAAAAAUAAGCAUUUUUGUAACUUCCAGACAUAACUUGUGUGUUAGUGUAUGGAUCUCUCUGACAUUGUACCACAAGGUUCCAUAUCACUAAAGGAAUGCUGGGAUUGAUUUUGGGGGUAAUUGCCUCCAAAUUUUAGGAAUUAGGGGCCAAAAAAGGGGCAAAAAACAAGCAUUUUUCUAGUUUCAUGACAAUAACUUGUGUGUAAGUGUAUGGAUCUUUCUGAAAUUGUACUACAAGGUUUCAUAUCAUAAAGGGAAAGCUGGGUUUGAGUUUGGGGGUAAUUGCCCUAAACGUUUAGGAAUUUGGGGCCAAAAAACACAUUUUUUUCUAGUUUCCAGACAAUAACUUGUGUUCAAGUGUAUGGAUCUCUCUGAAAUUGUACUGCAAGGUACCAUACCACAAAGGGAAGGCUGGGAUUGAGUUUGGGGGUGAUGAAUCAUAAUGGGGGUUCAAAAAAUUUUGGGGGGGGAUUUAUUUUUUUUUCCUUUUUUUUUCUUUUUUUCCUUUUUUGUUUCUUUUAAAAUUUUCCAUUUUAAGUUGGUUAUUUCUGAUUUAUAUUUAAAAUCAAAUAAUAAUGAUAUGGUAGGAGAUACACACCAAACAGGAUGUGUAAAUUAUUAUAUAAUAAGUAUUGUGCAAUAGCAAGAAAUUUUCAAUUGCACAGUAUUGCACAAUAGCAAGAAAUCUUCAAUUGCACAGUAUUGCGCAAUAGCAAGAAAUCUUCAAUUGCACAGUAUUGCACAAUAGCAAGAAAUAUCCAAUAGCACAAUAUUGCGCAAUAGCAAGAAAUUGUCAAUUGUACAGUAUUGCGCAAUAGCAAGAAAUAUUUAAUAGCACAGGAUUGUGCAAAAGAUACUUCCUAUAAAUUGCUUAUUUCUUGACCAAUUUCAAUGGGGUUUUAUUCUUGAUUUCAUGGGGUUCUUUAAUAUGCUGAAUAUAACCGUGUAUUUAGUUUUUGGAUUUUGGGCCCCGUUUUUAAAUUGGUCCACAUUGAGGUCCAAAGGGUCCAAAAUUAAACUUUGUUUGAUUUCAUCAAAAAUUGAAUUAUUGGGGUUCUUUGAUAUGCCGAAUCUAACUGUGUAUUUAGAUUCUUAAAUUUUGGUUCCGUUUUCAAAUUGGUCUACAUUAAGGUCCAAAGGGUCCAAAAUUAAACUUAGUUUGAUUUUAACAAAAAUUGAAUUCUUAGGGUUCUUUGAUAUGCUGAAUCUAAACAUGUAUUUAGAUUUUUGAUUAUGGGCCCAGUUUUCAAGUUGGUCCAAAUCGGGGUCCAAAAUUAAACUUUGUUUGAUUUCAACAAAAAUUGAAUAUAUGGGGUUCUUUGAUAUGCUGAAUCUAACCAUGUAUUUAGAUUUUUGAUUUUUGGGCCCCGUUAUCAACUUUGUCCACAUUGAGGUCAAAAGGGUCCAAAAUUAAACUUUGUUUGAUUUCAUCAAAAAUUGAAUUAUUGGGGUUCUUUGAUAUGCCGAAUCUAACCGUGUAUUUAGAUUCUUAAUUUUUGGUUCCGUUUUCAAAUUGGUCUACAUUAAGGUCCAAAGGGUCCAAAAUUAAACUUAGUUUGAUUUUAACAAAAAUUGAAUUCUUAGGGUUCUUUGAUAUGCUGAAUCUAAACAUGUAUUUAGAUUUUUGAUUAUGGGCCCAGUUUUCAAGUUGGUCCAAAUCGGGGUCCAAAAUUAAACUUUGUUUGAUUUCAACAAAAAUUGAAUAUAUGGGGUUCUUUGAUAUGCUGAAUCUAACCAUGUAUUUAGAUUUUUGAUUUUUGGGCCCCGUUAUCAACUUUGUCCACAUUGAGGUCAAAAGGGUCCGAAAUUAAACUUUGUUUGAUUUCAUCAAAAAUUGAAUUCUUGGGGUUCUUUGAUAUGCUGAAUCUAACCAUGUAUAUAGAUUUUGGAUAUUGGACCAUAAUAGGUGAAUGUCCGAUUUAAAAUUUUUAAGUUCUUAGACCACAUUCAAUCUGUGUUAGAAACCUAUGCUGUGUCAAAUAUUUAAUCACAAUCCAAAUCCAAAGCUGUAUCAAGCUUGAAUGUUGUGUCCAUACUUCCCCCAACUGUUCAGGGUUCGACCUCUGCGGUCGUAUCAAGCUGCGCCCUGCGGAGCAUUUUAUUGAUUAAUACCUUGUGUAUUAAUUAAGCAACAGGGGGUAUAAUGAUGGACAUAUAGGGCCAUCAUGGUGAACAUUAUUUUUAGGGCCACCACCAAUAAGAUAAUGUCACAGGUAGUACUGUAGGGGUCAAAUGCAGUUUUUCGCUUAUAUCUCAAAAACUAAACCAUUUAAUGCAAAUCUGACAUGGGUAAAAAUAUCCAAUACUGGUCAAGAUCUAUCAGCCCUGAAAUUUUCAGAUGAAUCUAACAAUUCAUUGUUGGGUGGCUGCCACUAAAUUGGUAAUUUUAAGAAAAUUUUGCAGUUUUUGGUUAUCUUGAAUAUCAUUGAAGAUAAAGAUAAACUGUAAACAACAAAAAUGUUCAGCAAAAUAAGAUCUACAAAAAAAGUUUGUAUGACCAAAAUUGUCAAUUAACAUCUGAAGGAGUUAUUAUCUUUUAAAGACAAUUUUACACUAUUUAUUCAUCAUACUUGCUUAAAUUUUAAAAUCUUCUCCUCUGAAACUACUGGGCCAAAUACUCUCAAACUUUAACUGAAUGUUCCUUAGGGUAUCUUAUUUGUAAAUUAUGUCUAAAGUUUUGAUCCAUCAACAAACAUGGCUGCCAUGGCUAAAAAUAGAACAUUGGGUCUAAUGCAGUUUUUAGCUAAUAUCUCAAAAACUAUAGCAUUUAGAGCAAAUUUAGCACAGAUUAAAUCUAUCAGCCCUGAAAUUUACUGAUAAAUUCAACAACCCAAUGUUAAAUUGUCAAUUUUAAGAACAUUUUGCAGUUUUUGGUUAUUAUCUUGAAUAUUAUUGAAAAUAAAAAUAAACUGUUAACAGCAGAAAUGUCCGGCAAAGUAAGAUCUAAAAAUAAUCAAUAUGGCCAACAUUUAAAUGGUAUUUUAAAGCAAAAAUAAUAAUUGAUGAAAGGUUUAAGCAAAAGAAUACAGGUGAGCAACUCCUUAUUUGGAGUAUAUACUUGCAUAAGAGGUGCUGGCAUUUCCAGAUAACUCGAUCCUCCUACAGUUUCAAUGCUAGGAAGUUUUCACUUUGCUGGCUGUUCAUACAUAUAUUGAAGGUGUGCAUGUUGUCAAUUGACAUUUAAUUUAUUCAGGGUUUUGAUUUUUGUUAAUAUUUGCUCUUUUGGGAGAUAGUUGAUCUUUGUCAUUUUUGGAGUAUAUACAUGCAUAACAGGUGUAUAACAUUUCCUAAAUAAGACUACAUCUGUGGGGACAUCAUCUGUUUCACUUGAACACAAUAAUAUCUCAAAGAAAGUCCUACAUUGACAUCAGAGUGGAGUGUGGGGACAUAUCACUUUGUCUAGUCUGAUAUAGUGUUAAAAUUGUUUUUCGUCCUGAUCAUGCAUGACAUAUUUGUUGCUGGAUGUUAAGCAAACAUCAUUUAAUCAAUUUUAUUCACAUAUGUGUUAAAUAUGUUUUUCUUCCUUUUUAGGAUGUUUAUAUGACUUCUAUGAUAAAUAUGAAUGUUUGUAUAGGAGAAGCCAAUGAAUUAUAUAUAAAUAGGCAGGUGUUGCAUCAGAUUAAUUUGUUGUAAAACUUAAUUUGAAUAAGUUUAUGUUACUAUGUUGUUGAUGUUUACUUUAUUGAUUAUGUUGACUGAUUUUUUAUAAUUUAUAUGUAAUUAUUAUAUAAAUAUGUUCAUAUACACACAAAUAAAUAUAUAUUUUUAUACUUAAACAAGUCAAAACAACCAGAACUUCAAUCACAACAGAUCUACUGGAUCUAUACAAAAUUAAAUAGAUGCAGAUUAUUUUUCUGAGAACACUGUACUGUCAAAGUUAUAGAAUUUAAUGAAAUAACAAUGUAUACAUGUUUUUUUUAACUUGAAACAUACAUUUGUACAUGCAUGACAUUGUUAGUCAUAAUGAAUUAUAUCACAUUUUGAAAUUCUUAUAUUUAUGUAGAGUUUAAAAGCUAUGUUAUUAUCAUCACAGUGUACGUAACAA